rnacentral:lncRNA from 1 species
GCUGAAUCUGAGGAAUAAAUGUCGGUGUGAUAAAUGCUAUCCGAGAAGCAUAGGAUGUGGAAUUGCUGAGACAGCCAUGGUUUCCGGACUCCCCUCUACGAGGCCACAGAGGAAAGAGAAGCGCCCAUACACAGCUCAGAACCAUCCUGGAGUAAAGGAAGGAGCUCCGUGCCACAAAGUUGCCCAUUAUUAGAAACCCCUCCUUUAGAAAAGUUUUCAACUUUGUCUUUUGAAGGUUUCUCCAUCUCCAUUUGGGAAUUCCUCUUCAAUUUCUUAAUGGAAGUUGAUGAGAGAAUGGAUUUACCCAAAGAUGAUUUUCUGGGAACACAUCAAUUCUGAAAAGCAAGAUAAAAAAUUCUACGGUUGGAUGUUUUUAGUCAGUAAAAAUACUUAAAAUUGUUAUGGUAGGUUAUACUUGUUAUUUAUUGAAAGGUAAGCAUGAAACUGAACUUCCCAACGUAGUGGUGUGUUUCUUUGUGGAUAACAUGGCUAAAUAGGGUACAUGGAGUUAAAUAGGGUUAACUAUUUAAUAGUUAAUAAACCAUAUACCCUA